ensembl:lncRNA
GGGGGAGGAAAGUUUUAAACCUCCUGCGUUGUGGCCUCACAUUUCUCUCAUGUGUUCUGUGAGCGAUGAGGUGUGUAUGUGCGUCUCUGUUAGAGACGUCUGGGCAAACUCACAGCAAUCAGCAAUGUCAAAUUAUCUCCAGCAUCCGUCCUCACUGGACAUCACAGAACAGUCCAGCUCUGCCCGGUGUGUGUGUGUGUGUCUGUGUGUGUGUCUGUGUGUGUGUGUGUGUACUCUGCAGUGGGUCUCCAUGACAACGUGACCAAUACCCACCAAUCGGUAGGGGAGGAGUCACACGAGUGCUUCUGCUCCCAUUUCUGUCUUCAUCUUGAGACAAUGAUGCUUUUUACCAAAGGAACUUUUUAGCACAAUUUCUUUUCCCCUGAAGUUGUGAUUGAAACUAAACUACGAUAACUUCUGAACCCACAAGAAAAUGAACAAUUUAAAGUUGCAUGAAUAAAUUGAAACCCUGUCAAAACAAAAUAUAACUUAUGAAGACAAAACCUACAAAAAUAGGAAGAAAAAUAAAUGACAAGAAGCACAACAAAUAUGCAGAAAAUCCAACAAAUCAACAAUCCAGUACAAACAUAUAAAAAGUAAAUGAUGAGAAUCAUUUUUCCCACAGUUCACCACGCUAGUCGACAUCGUCUAAAAAGCACCAUCGCCCCGUCUCAGGGUGGAGGUCUCCUCCACGGAACCUUCCAGCGACUCUCUUCUGCUUCUGGAGGCUCCACUUCACACAAAAUGGGUCAGAAAUUCAACCUGCUUCUCCAGAAGCUCCAUGAAGCUCCAUGAAGCCCCGUGAAGCUCCAUGAAGCUCCAUGAAGCCCCAUGAAGCUCCAUGAAGCCCCAUGAAGCUCCAUGAAGCCCCAUGAAGCUCCAUGAGGCUCCAUGAAGCUCCAUGAAGCUCCAUGAAGCCCCUUGAAGGUCCAUGAAGCCCCACGAAGCUCCAUGAAGCCCCAUGAAGCUCCAUGUCGCUAGAAGGAGACGUGUCCCUUUGUGGCUCGCAGGAGAGAUGAACGCUUGAUCAAUCACAGCUUGAGUACAGUACACGCACACACGCACACACACACACACACACACACACACAUACACACACAAACAUGGAGCCAAUUAUGCAAUUUUCAUGAACUGACAGCCAGUAGAGAAACACGGUACGGUCGACAAUCAAAUUAGUUUCCCCUCCUCCCACACACACACACACACACACACACACACACACACACACACACAGCAGACUGGGGCUUCACACUCCGAUGACGAGCACAGAUUGGCCCUUUUGAGAAGCUACGCAAACACAACUUGUGUGUAGACAUAGUUGUUCACAUGGGGGGUUCUGAACCCUAAACGUCCGUCCCACUCGAUGAUGUCACGACUUCAUGUGGAUUCCGGCCCGUAAACACACACACGCAUCAGCAACGUACGAGAUGGUAACAAGCCAUGCGGAGGUUUGUAGGUCACAUGAUUUAAACACACACACACACACACACACAGUCGCUCUGUGAGAGCAGCAUCAAGCCCAGUUUAUGCUUCUGUGUUUUCAGAGACACGCAAGACCCCCUUGCGUGUCCCUUGCGUGUCCCGCAAGGCUGUGAUUGGUCUGCUGACUACGUCCUUUACGGAGUCUCACGUCUCCGUUUUCACAGCACAAUGCGGCCGUUAUUAAAAGGAGGAACGUUUACCAGAGAACGGAUCAGAUUGAAGAGCUUUUAAAUAUGAGCGCUUGUACAAGCCGUCAUUGGCGGACUAUGAGGACGCCGGAUGGCCUCUGAUUCAUGGAGGGAGAUCUCCACCAACGAGGGGAACAAAGUCGUGGAGGAAAAUACGGGACAAAUGUGUCCUUGAUGAAAAGCAGCAGUGUGGAUGCACGGGGCAAUAAAGUCUAUGAUCAAUAAAUAAAGCAACCAGCGACUUCCACACACAAAGACGUGACUCUCCAGGUCGUCUUCAACAGAACACGUGACUCCACCUGUUGUUCUGGAGGUGAAUCGCUCUGCAACACACGCAGGACUUUACAACCAGGAAGUGAAACCAGCGCGUCGACGCGUAAAGACGCAGAAACACGCGGCGGCCGUCAGUUAGCAGAGGAAGACAACAAGAGUCUUUUCUGUUGACAGUAGGACAGAUUAUUGUGUACAUAUGUGUGUGUGCAUGUGUGUGUGUGUGUGUGUGUGCGUGCGUGUGUGUGUGCGUGUGAGACACACAGAGGUUGUGCUCAAGGUGUGAUGGUUGUGUUCUCAUGUCACAGAGUACAUGGUAAUAACACCUCUCUUGGCAGACCCACGCCUGUUACUGUGUGUGUGUGUGUGUGUGUGCGUGU